rnacentral:rRNA from 1 species
UACGAAGGGGGCUAGCGUUGCUCGGAAUCACUGGGCGUAAAGCGCACGUAGGCGGCUUACUAAGUCAGGGGUGAAAUCCUGGAGCUCAACUCCAGAACUGCCUUUGAUACUGGUGAGCUUGAGUCCGGAAGAGGUGAGUGGAACUGCGAGUGUAGAGGUGAAAUUCGUAGAUAUUCGCAAGAACACCCGUGGCGAAGGCGGUUCUCUGGGACGGUACUGACGCUGAGACGCGAAAGCGUGGGGAGCGAACAGG